AUUGAACGCUGGCGGCAGGCCUAACACAUGCAAGUCGAGCGAGCGGCGGACGGGUGAGUAAUGUAUGGGGACUGCCCGAUAGAGGGUGAUAAACACUGGACACGGUGGCUAAUACCGCAUAUUCUCGGAUAACCCACAGUGGAUUAGCUAGUAGGUAAGGUAAUGGCUUACCUAGGCGACGAUCCCUAGCUGGUCUGAGAGGAUGAUCAGCCACACUGGGACUGAGACACGGCCCAGACUCCUACGGAGGCAGCAGUGGGGAAUAUUGCACAAUGGGCGCAAGCCUGAUGCAGCCAUGCCGCGUGUAUGAAGAAGGCCCUAGGGUUGUAAAGUACUUUCAGUCGGGAGGCGUUACCGACAGAAGAAGCACCGGCUAACUCCGUGCCAGCAGCCGCGGUAAUC
rnacentral:rRNA from 1 species